rnacentral:misc_RNA from 1 species
GAUGAAGAACGUAGCGAAAUGCGAUACGUAAUGUGAAUUGCAGAAUUCAGUGAAUCAUCGAAUCUUUGAACGCACAUUGCACUCUCUGGUAUUCCGGAGAGUAUGCUUGUUUGAGUAUCAGUAAACACCUCAAAUCUCUUGUUUCUUGUGAAUAAGAGAAUUGGACUUGAGCAAUCCCAACUCUUGCAAAAGAGGCGGGUUGCUUGAAAUGCAGGUGCAGCUGGACAUUCUUCUGAGCUAAAAGCAUAUUUAUUUAGUCCCGUAAAACGGAUUAUUACUUUUGCUGCAGCUAACAUAAAGGUUGAAUGGCCAAUAUGGCUGACUGAUGCAGGAUUAACAGAGAAUUUAUUCUUUGUAAACUCGAUCUCAAAUCAAGUAAGACUACCCGCUGAACUUAAGCAUAUCAAUAAGCGGAGGA